AAGUCGUAACAAGGUUUCCGUAGGUGAACCUGCGGAAGGAUCAUUACAACGUAUCCACGUACCAAACUCUCGAACCGUUCCCAACGGAGCAAAACACUUGUGGAUGAAGUCAAUGGCUUUCGCUGAUGGAGUCCGCUGACUUUUGUCAAAGGACUGAAAGGCAUUCGGUCGCCAGAGCUCGUUUCUGGGACUUCGUUUACUUCGUUGCGGUUUUACCGUCAGCGUUUGUAAUACCAUUAUUGACCCUUUGAAAUUAUGAACUGAACUUGAUGGCUUUGCAGCUGUCCUUGCUGGCUUCGGUCACGGACAUAACUGCCUAGCUUAUCACAUUUACAAAACAAAGAACAACUCUUAGCAACGGAUAUCUUGGUUCUC
rnacentral:misc_RNA from 1 species